UGGAGGAUAUAUACAGGGGGUACCGGUACAGAGUCAAUGUGGAGACUAUAUACAGGGGGUACCGGUACAGAGUCAAUGUGGAGGUUAUAUACAGGGGGUACCGGUACAGAGUCAAUGUGGAGGUUAUAUACAGGGGGUACCGGUACAGAGUCAAUGUGGAGGCUAUAUACAGGGGGUACCGGUAAAGAGUCAAUGUGGAGGAUAUAUACAGGGGGUACCAGUACAGAGUCAAUGUGGAGGCUAUAUACAGGGGGUACCGGUACAGAGUCAAUGUGGAGGCUAUAUACAGGGAGUACCGGUACAGAGUCAAUGUGGAGGCUAUAUACAGGGGGUACCGGUACAGAGUCAAUGUGGAGACUAUAUACAGGGGGUACCGGUACAGAGUCAAUGUGGAGG
ensembl:lncRNA